GGAGGGGGCAAGCGUUGUUCGGAAUUACUGGGCGUAAAGGGCGCGUAGGCGGGGUGUCAAGUUAGGGGUGAAAGGCCUGGGCUCAACCUAGGAACUGCCUCUAAAACUGGCACUCUAGAGUCCGGGAGAGGAUGGCGGAAUUCCCAGUGUAGAGGUGAAAUUCGUAGAUAUUGGGAAGAACACCAGUGGCGAAGGCGGCCAUCUGGUCCGGCACUGACGCUGAGGCGCGAAAGCGUGGGGAGCAAACAGGAUUAGAUACCCUGGUAGUCCACGCCGUAAACGAUGUGUGCUAGCCCGUUGGGGCACGUUGGUGCUUCAGUGGCGCAGCUAACGCGUUAAGCACACCGCCUGGGGAGUACGGUCGCAAGAUUA
rnacentral:rRNA from 1 species